CGGACAUCACCCGCAGGCCAGCCAGAUCGGCUCCUCCCAAAUUGACUCUUUUGCUCCUUCUGUUACAUAACGCACUGCAUUCUGGUAUUCACGAGAGACUGGGCUUCUGUGAUUCGAAACAAUUGGGGGGAGUGACGUGAUGGAGUGAUGAUACUAGUCUGCUCAUUCUCACUCAGUGUGGAAUGUGUGUUCUCUCCUCACUCUCUCACCAUUUCUUUCUCUUCUCUCUUACUCUGUCUCUCUCCUUCUCUUGUUUGCACUCCCUCUCUCCAUCCUCUCUCAGGUGCUUUUAUGGCUAACAGGGUUGGUGCACGGACACAGCCACCGCAUACACAGGUGAACAGAGGAGCGGAAACAGGGUCAAAGGCUUGGAAAGCGAACGGAGGAGUGGAAACAGGGUCAAAGGCUGGGAAAGCAAACAGAGGAGUGGAAACAGGAUCAAAGGCUGGGAAAGCAAACAGAGGAGUGGAAACAGGAUCAAAGGCUGGGAAAGCGAACAGAGGAGUGGAAACAGGAUCAAAGGCUGGGAAAGCGAACAGAGGAGUGGAAACAGGGUCAAAGGCUGUGAAAGCGAACAGAGGAGUGGAAACAGGGUCAAAGGCUGGGAAAGCGACAAGAUGGAAACAGGGUCAAAGGCUGGGAAAGCGAACAGAGGAGUGGAAACAGGAUCAAAGGCUGGGAAAGCGAACAGAGGAGUGGAAACAGGGUCAAAGGCUGGGAAAGCGAACAGAGGAGUGGAAACAGGAUCAAAGGCUGGGAAAGCGAACAGAGGAGUGGAAACAGGGUCUAUUUUCUCCCCUUCCUUCACUCCCUUCACUUUCCAACAGCAACCAUGAGUCAAUAAAGAACCAUUAUAUGAGUCAUUUUGGAGAAAUAUGUCAUCGGUAAAGGUCUGGGCCCAGUGUUCCCCAUUAGGGGUUAUUACAGGGGCCCUGCAUGACCUUAGUCUUAGGGUGAUGGCCUGGCACUAGACGUUGUUGGUGGAAGACCGAAAUAAUUUUAGGUCACAUGGUGCACCAUGUGUCACUACAGUAUAGAAACAGGAGGAGGUUGAGCCCAGACACUGGUUAAAGGUCAUUUUAGGACUGCUGUUGGCAAUGGCAAAACCUACUCUCCAAUCUAGUGUACCAAAACACACACCUGUACAGCAUACCAGAUAACAUGACUUUCAAAUGCACAAUUAUGGUCGCUAUGGUUCUUCUGUUUGAGUUACAGUACACCAUUCUGGUGAACAGUAGAGCUGUAGCCAGUCCAUUACAUUUUCAGUACCUUUUCCUAGACUCCUGAAUGGGGAUAUGUUGGUCACGGCUGGCUUUCACUGUUUAACUGGCAACACUCAUCAUGACCUACUCUAAGGGUACUUUGUCAUGAGAUGUUCUGACCCACCAUCGGGUGACAACUGAAGGGGUCACGGUUCACUAUGUUCAAAAUAACACUCAUUCUCCUCAACAAACCUUCCUGUGGGUUGGGCAACAGUUAUACUCUACGGGUAUGAAAUGCCUUUAAAAAGUAGCCAUGUGAAGCAUUAGCUGAUCUCCUUGAAAUAUAUGGGGCCCUGCCCUCGAAGACAUUAUUCAUCUUGCUAAAAGCCAGACUAUAAACCACUUACCAUUGACACAUGUAAUAGUAGAGUACUAAUGUGUGCCCUUAAAGCAAUGUUGAAUGGGAUGGAGUGCAUAAUGAGGCUGGUUGUGUUCUUGAAUAAACUGGGCACAGAAAACUGUCUGUUGUCCUGUUGUUUCUUGCCUCUCUCUCACCUUGGAACCCCACAGUUAGCAUGCUAGCAUAUUAACACCUUGGAAUCCUACAGUUAGCAUGCUAGAAUAUUAAAACCUUGGAACUUUACAGUUAGCAUGCUAGCAUAUUAAAACCUUGGAAUCCUAUAGUUAGCAUGCUAGCAUAUUAACACCUUGGUCAAUGUGUGAGUUCCCCAUCUGAUGCUGAGAAUCUCACUCUGGUGGUCCCGGAGAGAAGAAUAUCUUGAACUAAUUUAAGAGGACAUGCAUGACCUCCGUAUGGAUAGGCAUGACUGUCUCUAAGUCUCUAGGAAGAGGCUUAGACUUAAAUCUGUAACUAUGUGGGGCCCAGGUGUCAACUUGUGACAGCAGCAGGUAGGUAUUUGGGAGAUGUCCCUCGUCAAAAUGUACCUGUAAACCAAUCCCAGUGUAUGGGGCUUAUAACUCUAAAGUGCUGAGACAUGUCUUUUUUUUUAUCUCCUUCCCGAUCAUAACAAGCUUAUGUUUCAGAUGAUUUACAUAAUGUUGAAAAGUAGAAUUAUGUUCUGUGGAGACAAUAAAAUGAUGAACGGAUUGUUUUUUUCUUCCUGAGCACAAUUCAAAUGCACCCACACACACACACACACUGUCCCAAAACAUAUAAGGCUGACAUGAUUAGCUAUCAAAUACAGUGCACUCACACAGAACCUGUACUUAUGCUUGUCAUCAAAGAGCACCUUGUAAAGUUGUACACUGGAAGAGGGGAAGAACACGGCGGGGUGGGA
ensembl:lncRNA